UCAGGCCUAACACAUGCAAGUCGAACGGGAUCUUCGGAUCUAGUGGCGGACGGGUGAGUAACGUGUGGGAUCGUGCCCUUUGCUUCGGAAUAGCCCCGGGAAACUGGGAGUAAUACCGGAUGAGCCCUACGGGGGAAAGAUUUAUCGGCGAAGGAUCGGCCCGCGUUGGAUUAGGUAGUUGGUGGGGUAAUGGCCUACCAAGCUCGACGAUCCAUAGCUGGUUUGAGAGGAUGAUCAGCCACAUCUGGGACUGAGACACGGCCCAGACUCCUACGGGAGGCAGCAGUGGGGAAUCUUAAAGAAUGGGGGAAACCCUGAUCUAGCCAUGCCGCGUAUUAAAGGGAGGCCUUAGGGUUGUAAAGCUCUUCAGCUGGAAGAUAAUGAC
rnacentral:rRNA from 1 species